rnacentral:other from 1 species
AAUCGUCUGGGGUGUGCGUUGGCAGGUAUUGAUGUCUAACCGACUUUUACACUCAGGGAACCUGAUUUGAACCGUGUGGCUGAUGGAGCGUUUUCACGAUGAUCAAAGGCACGGCUUAAGGUACCCACCUGCACAUGCAGGUUUAGGCAGAUAUUGCCGACGGCAUUUUGGACCCCAU